rnacentral:rRNA from 1 species
GUGACAGCCGCCGCGGUAAUACGUAGGGAGCGAGCGUUGUCCGGAUUCAUUGGGCGUAAAGAGCUCGUAGGCGGCUCAGUAAGUCGGAUGUGAAACCUCCAGGCUCAACCUGGAGUCGCCAUCCGAUACUGCUGUGGCUAGAGUCCGGUAGGGGCCCACGGAACUCCUGGUGUAGCGGUGAAAUGCGCAGAUAUCAGGAAGAACACCGGUGGCGAAGGCGGUGGGCUGGGCCGGCACUGACGCUGAGGAGCGAAAGCGUGGGGAGCGAACAGGAUUAGAAACCCCUGUAGUCC